UCCAAUUUAGAGUUCGCAGGUGGAACCACAGAUCGACGCCUCGGACCCAUACAUGACCAUGAUGACAGAGAUGAACGAGUUCUGACAACAGCUUGGGCGACAUUUUGUGCUCGCUUCAUCACAACCUACAAAUUAAAAGAUAAAUAAUGCAGGAAAGGUUGUUGCUUGUACAUGCACAUGAAAGAAAGAAGAGCAAGACAGCAAAGUUUCAAUUGACUUAAUAGCUCCAAAGAAUUGACAAACCAAGUGUUAGAAGUCUCAGGAUUAUAAACCAAAAGGUUACUUUGAAUUUACCUGAGUGCUACUAGAAACAGGACGCAGAAGAGCACCUGCCCCAGCAACUCUAGCUCUGGCACUGGCUAUAGAUGGUAGACGCGAUCCCAGAGCAGUUGCAGAGCGAUAAACAACAUUUAAGACUCUGGUAUGCUCAACCUGAUCCCGCAAAUCAUUUAACCAUGACGAUGCUGUUACCUGGUCCACAAAAAUUUAGAAAUAUGAAGUCUGAAAUAUAUACUAAAGAAUGAAAACCAAAUACUGGUCGUGAUUCAGCACCUCAGAGCGAAGGUCGUCAAUUGAAGCAGUUGAAAAUGUAGGCACCAGAUCAGAUCCAUUAAUCACAGUAGUAAUAAAGUGCUUGCCUGAUUCUGCUAAAUCCCAUGUCAUACAGGCAGCUGCAAAUAAUGCAGUUCAAGGAAUUAGAGAAAAGCAUACCAUACUCACCAAUAAGCUUCUCUUCGUACUAUUCUAGGAAACGACACUGAAAUCUAGUUAGACAUCCAUGAAUUAUGCAACCUAGAAGGAAAAGAAUCUUAAAUGUCAAAAUCAAGAUGAUUCUCAUAAA